rnacentral:rRNA from 1 species
UACGUAGGUCCCGAGCGUUGUCCGGAUUUAUUGGGCGUAAAGCGAGCGCAGGUGGUUUAUUAAGUCUGGUGUAAAAGGCAGUGGCUCAACCAUUGUAUGCAUUGGAAACUGGUAGACUUGGGUGCAGAAGAGGAGAGUGGAACUCCAUGUGUAGCGGUGAAAUGCGUAGAUAUAUGGAAGAACACCAGUGGCGAAAGCGGCUCUCUGGUCUGUAACUGACGCUGAGGUUCGAAAGCGUGGGUAGCAAACAGG